GAAUGAUUGAAUCUAUUCACUUUAUAGUUUACAAUAAACUUAGUGAAAUCAUCCGAGAGAGAUGCAAGGAAAAAGUCUUGGGCCAUUUUCCCAUCGAUGGAAGUUCCUAAACUUUUAAGAUCUUUAAAUAUCUUUUCCAUCUUUUGUCCAUGUUUAUGAACCGAUGCCCCCUUUGCCAUCUUGGCAUUCAUUAGACUACAAACAUUUGAGAAUCGUACAUUACUAGUCUCAUUGUCAUGCAUCUUAUGCAAA
rnacentral:lncRNA from 1 species